AACGAACGCUGGCGGCAUGCCUUACACAUGCAAGUCGAACGCUAUCUUUGAUAGAGUGGCGCACGGGUGAGUAACGCGUGGGAACCUGCCUUUCACUGCGGGACAACGGUUGGAAACGACCGCUAAUACCGCAUACGCCCUACGGGGGAAAGAUUUAUCGGUGAUAGAGGGGCCCGCGUCUGAUUAGCUUGUUGGUAGGGUAAUGGCCUACCAAGGCGACGAUCGGUAGCUGGUCUGAGAGGAUGAUCAGCCACACUGGGACUGAGACACGGCCCAGACUCCUACGGGAGGCAGCAGUGGGGAAUAUUGGACAAUGGGGGCAACCCUGAUCCAGCAAUGCCGCGUGUGUGAUGAAGGCCUUAGGGUUGUAAAGCACUUUCACUGGUGAAGAUGAUGACGGUAACCAGAGAAGAAGCCCCGGCUAACUUCGUG
rnacentral:rRNA from 1 species